UACGUAGGGUGCGAGCGUUAAUCGGAAUUACUGGGCGUAAAGGGUGCGCAGGCGGCCCCGCAUGUCGGGUGUGAAAUCCCCGGGCUUAACUUGGGAAUUGCAUCCGAAACUACGGGGCUGGAGUGUGGCAGAGGGAGGUGGAAUUCCACGUGUAGCGGUGAAAUGCGUAGAGAUGUGGAGGAACACCAAUGGCGAAGGCAGCCUCCUGGGCCAACACUGACGCUCAUGCACGAAAGCGUGGGUAGCAAACAGG
rnacentral:rRNA from 1 species